UACGUAGGUGGCGAACGUUAUCCGGAAUUAUUGGGCGUAAAGGGUGCGUAGAUGGUGUGAUAAGUUAUCAGUGGGAAAUCGAGGCUCAACCUCGUGGAAGUUGGUAAUACUAUUAUACUAGAGUGCAGGAGAAGUUAACGGAACUCCAUGUGGAGCGGUAAAAUGCGUAGAUAUAUGGAAGAACAUCAAUAACGGCGAAGGCAGUUAACUAUUCUGUUACUGACAUUGAGGCACGAAAGCGUGGGGAGCAAAACGG
rnacentral:rRNA from 1 species